rnacentral:lncRNA from 1 species
UCGUGGUGAUGCACUAAUAAUAAUUUAGAGAGUCUGUUCAGAAGCUGACCGUCCAAUUUAUAACUCACGAGUCAUAAGUCAUGGAAUUUAUUACGUGUAAAACAUUUAUAAAUAGACAAACUUAUUAGUUGUAUUAAGUAUUUGGAUAUUACGUUACAGUAUGUUGCAUAAACUAUAUAAAUGACUGUAAUUGCAAAUUCAAACCAGACAGGAUCCAAAUACAAACUUCAAAAUUCAAAUAAUAGGAAUUUCGGUAGGG